rnacentral:rRNA from 1 species
CCCUUAGAUGUUCUGGGCUGCACGCGCGCUACACUGAUUCAUGCAACAAGUUUUGUCCUUGGCUGAUAGGCCUGGGUAAUCUUUGAACGUGAAUCGUGAUGGGGAUAGAUGAUUGCAAUUAUUCAUCUUCAACGAGGAAUUCCUAGUAAACGCAAGUCAUCAGCUUGCAUUGAUUACGUCCCUGCCCUUUGUACACACCGCCCGUCGCACCUACCGAUUGAAUGGUCCGGUGAAAUCUUCGGAUCUGAGAGAUGUCUGAUUAAUUUCGGACGCCUUUUGGAAAAGUUGUUUAAACCUUACCAUUUAGAGGAAGGUGAAGUCGUAACA